rnacentral:rRNA from 1 species
GCAGAGUUUGAUCCUGGCUCAGAUUGAACGCUGGCGGCAGGCUUAACACAUGCAAGUCGAGCGGUAACAGGAGAAGCUUGCUUCUCGCUGACGAGCGGCGGACGGGUGAGUAAUACUUAGGAAUCUGCCCAGUAGUGGGGGAUAGCUCGGGGAAACUCGAAUUAAUACCGCAUACACCCUACGGGGAAAAGGGGGCACUUGUGCUCUCGCUAUUGGAUGAGCCUAAGUCGGAUUAGCUAGUUGGUGGGGUAAAGGCCUACCAAGGCGACGAUCUGUAGCUGGUCUGAGAGGAUGAUCAGCCACACCGGGACUGAGACACGGCCCGGACUCCUACGGGAGGCAGCAGUGGGGAAUAUUGGACAAUGGGGGCAACCCUGAUCCAGCCAUGCCGCGUGUGUGAAGAAGGCCUUUUGGUUGUAAAGCACUUUAAGCAGUGAAGAAGACUCUAUGGUUAAUACCCAUAGACGAUGACAUUAGCUGCAGAAUAAGCACCGGCUAACUCUGUGCCAGCAGCCGCGGUAAUACAGAGGGUGCAAGCGUUAAUCGGAAUUACUGGGCGUAAAGCGAGCGUAGGUGGCUUGAUAAGUCAGAUGUGAAAUCCCCGGGCUUAACCUGGGAACUGCAUCUGAUACUGUUAGGCUAGAGUAGGUGAGAGGGAGGUAGAAUUUCAGGUGUAGCGGUGAAAUGCGUAGAGAUCUGAAGGAAUACCGAUGGCGAAGGCAGCCUCCUGGCAUCAUACUGACACUGAGGUUCGAAAGCGUGGGUAGCAAACAGGAUUAGAUACCCUGGUAGUCCACGCCGUAAACGAUGUCUACUAGUCGUUGGGGAACUUGAUUCCUUAGUGACGCAGCUAACGCAAUAAGUAGACCGCCUGGGGAGUACGGCCGCAAGGUUAAAACUCAAAUGAAUUGACGGGGGCCCGCACAAGCGGUGGAGCAUGUGGUUUAAUUCGAUGCAACGCGAAGAACCUUACCUGGUCUUGACAUAUCUAGAAUCCUGCAGAGAUGCGGGAGUGCCUUCGGGAAUUAGAAUACAGGUGCUGCAUGGCUGUCGUCAGCUCGUGUCGUGAGAUGUUGGGUUAAGUCCCGCAACGAGCGCAACCCUUUUCCUUAGUUACCAGCGGUUUGGCCGGGGACUCUAAGGAUACUGCCAGUGACAAACUGGAGGAAGGCGGGGACGACGUCAAGUCAUCAUGGCCCUUACGACCAGGGCUACACACGUGCUACAAUGGUAGGUACAGAGGGCAGCUACACAGCGAUGUGAUGCGAAUCUCAAAAAGCCUAUCGUAGUCCAGAUUGGAGUCUGCAACUCGACUCCAUGAAGUCGGAAUCGCUAGUAAUCGCGGAUCAGAAUGCCGCGGUGAAUACGUUCCCGGGCCUUGUACACACCGCCCGUCACACCAUGGGAGUUGAUUGCACCAGAAGUGGGUAGCCUAACUUUUAGAGGGCGCUCACCACGGUGUGGUCGAUGACUGGGGUGAAGUCGUAACAAGGUA